CAAAUAUCAAGCGACAGUCCUGUCCUAGGGAGUCCAUAGUCACCUGGGCUCUUGAAGCAGGAGCCUGCCCGGGUGGCUACCGAGCCCUCGGACCAGAUACACCUGAAGCCCCCUGGCCGCCCCCCAGCUGGGAAAGGUGGCAGAACCAGAGCUAAAUCCCCAGCUGAAUCAUCUUUUACUUCAUGGUUUUUCAUACCCGAAUAAUGUUACUCAUGGGCUUCUAACAGGUAAAGAUAACUUAUAUGGAGGAUGCUGUGUAUUCUGGCAAGAAAUGGACCACUUAUGCCAGGGGAGCCUUGGAAAUCCCCACUCUUCCAGGCAACACUUGGCCAUCUGCCUGCAUGGCCUAACACAAGAG
rnacentral:lncRNA from 1 species